GCGGGAGUAUUUCAACUUUUAGAACACGUUCCUUCCCAGAACGAGGUAUAGGUGUAAAUCCUAUCUUCCGCUCCA
rnacentral:tRNA from 1 species